CGAACGCUGGCGGCAGGCCUAAUACAUGCAAGUCGAACGGCUCUUCGGAGCAGUGGCGGACGGGUGAGUAACGCGUGGGAAUGUGCCCUUUGGUACGGAACAACUGAGGGAAACUUCAGCUAAUACCGUAUGUGCCCUUCGGGGGAAAGAUUUAUUGCCAUUGGAGCAGCCCGCGUUGGAUUAGCUAGUUGGUGGGGUAAAGGCCCACCAAGGCGACGAUCCAUAGCUGGUCUGAGAGGAUGAUCAGCCACACUGGGACUGAGACACGGCCCAGACUCCUACGGGAGGCAGCAGUAGGGAAUCUUGCGCAAUGGGCGAAAGCCUGACGCAGCCAUGCCGCGUGAAUGAUGAAGGUCUUAGGAUUGUAAAAUUCUUUCACCGGGGAAGAUAAUGACGGUACCCGGAGAAGAAGCCCCGGCUAACUUCGU
rnacentral:rRNA from 1 species